rnacentral:rRNA from 1 species
UACGAAGGGGCUAGCGUUGUUCGGAAUUACUGGGCGUAAAGCGCACGUAGGCGGAUUGUUAAGUCAGAGGUGAAAUCCCGGAGCUCAACUUCGGAACUGCCUUUGAUACUGGCAAUCUCGAGUCCGGAAGAGGUUAGUGGAAUUCCCAGUGUAGAGGUGAAAUUCGUAGAUAUUGGGAAGAACACCAGUGGCGAAGGCGGACUAACGUGG